rnacentral:rRNA from 1 species
AGCGGCGGACGGGUGAGUAACGCGUGGGUAACCUGCCUCAUACAGGGGGAUAACAGUUAGAAAUGACUGCUAAUACCGCAUAAGACCACAGCACCGCAUGGUGUGGGGGUAAAAACUCCGGUGGUAUGAGAUGGACCCGCGUCUGAUUAGCUGGUUGGUAAGGUAACGGCUUACCAAGGCGACGAUCAGUAGCCGACCUGAGAGGGUGACCGGCCACAUUGGGACUGAGACACGGCCCAA